rfam:Schistosoma mansoni strain Puerto Rico chromosome W, complete genome
AUCCAGCUGACAAGUCGCAAAUAGGAGGAAAUGCGCGUCAAACUGGGU